rnacentral:rRNA from 1 species
CGGGUGAGUAACGCGUAAAGAACUUGCCUCAUAGUCUGGGACAACAUUUGGAAACGGAUGCUAAUACCGGAUAUUAUGCUUUCUUCGCAUGGAGGAAGUAUGAAAGCUAUAUGCGCUAUGAGAGAGCUUUGCGUCCCAUUAGCUAGUUGGUGAGGUAAAAGCCUACCAAGGCGAUGAUAGGUAGCCGGCCUGAGAGGGUGGACGGCCACAAGGGGACUGAGAUACGGCCCUUACUCCUACGGGAGGCAGCAGCU